GACGAACGCUGGCGGCGUGCUUAACACAUGCAAGUCGAACGGAAAGGCCCUGCUUGCUGGGUACUCGAGUGGCGAACGGGUGAGUAACACGUGGGUGAUCUGCCCUGCACUUCGGGAUAAGCCUGGGAAACUGGGUCUAAUACCGGAUAGGAGCCAUUCUUAGUGUGAUGGUUGGAAAGUUUUUUCGGUGUAGGAUGAGCUCGCGGCCUAUCAGCUUGUUGGUGGGGUAAUGGCCUACCAAGGCGGCGACGGGUAGCCGGCCUGAGGGGGUGGACGGCCACAUUGGGACUGAGAUAGGGCCCAGCCUCCUACGGGGGGCAGGAGGGGGGAAUAUGUCAGAAGGGGCGCAGGCCUGAUGCAGCGACGCCGGGAGGGGGGUAGCGGCCUUGGGGUGGUAAACCGCUUGCGCGAGGGGGAGAGCUUUUGGUAGGGUGACCAGUAUAAGAAGCGAGGAUAAACUCCGG
rnacentral:rRNA from 1 species